GAUGUUGCCGUGUGACAAACGGCUCGUCUGAAAUGCCUGAGUGUACCCUGCUUUUGCGGCGUAUUCGGUGUGAUAAAUCUUUACCGGAGUUGACUUUUCAAGUCGCGCUUGUGGCUGUGGGCUCUAUGCUUCCAACCGUCCGACAGGACAAUCUUUGACAAUUUGACCUCAAAUCGGGUGGGACUACCCGCUGAACUUAA
rnacentral:misc_RNA from 1 species